rnacentral:rRNA from 1 species
UAAUACAGAGGGGGCUAGCGUUAUUCGGAAUUAUUGGGCGUAAAGGGCGCGUAGGCGGCCAUGCGUGUCUUUCGUGAAAUCCCUCGGCUCAACUGAGGACGUGCGGAAGAAACUGCAAGGCUUGAGUCCGGGAGAGGGGGGUGGAAUCCCGGGUGUAGCGGUGAAAUGCGUAGAGAUCCGGAGGAACAUCAAUGGCGAAGGCAGCCGCCUGGGCCACAACUGACGCUGAGGUACGAAAGCGUGGGGAGCAAACAGGAUUAGAUACCCUGGUAGUCCACGCUGUAAACGAUGAGAACUAGACGUUGGCCAGCUUGGUCUGGUCGGUGUCGUAGCUAACGCGAUAAGUUCUCCGCCUGGGGAGUACGGCCGCAAGGUU